rnacentral:rRNA from 1 species
AUUGAACGCUGGCGGCAUGCCUUACACAUGCAAGUCGAACGGCAGCACGGGUGCUUGCACCUGGUGGCGAGUGGCGAACGGGUGAGUAAUAUAUCGGAACGUACCUUAUUGUGGGGGCUAACGCAGCGAACGCUGUGCCAAUACCGCAUAAUCCCUAAGGGGGAAAGCGGGGACCGUAAGGCAUCGCGCAAUUAGAGCGGCCGAUACCUGAUUAGCUAGUUGGGGAGGUAAAGGCUCACCAAGGCAACGAUCAGUAGCUGGUCUGAGAGGACGAUCAGCCACACUGGGACUGGGACACGGCCCAGACUCCUACGGGAGGCAGCAGUGGGGAAUUUUGGACAAUGGGGGCAACCCUGAUCCAGCAAUGCCGCGUGAGUGAAGAAGGCCUUCGGGUUGUAAAGCUCUUUUGUCAGAGAAGAAACAGCGGCUCUAACACAGUUUGCGAAUGACGGUACCUGAAGAAUAAGCACCGGCUAACUACGUGCCAGCCGCCGCGGUAA